rnacentral:rRNA from 1 species
AUUGGAUGAGCCCGCGGCCUAUCAGCUCGUUGGUGGGGUAACGGCCCACCAAGGCGAUGACGGGUAGCUGGUCUGAGAGGACGGCCUGCCACACUGGGGCUGAGACACGGCCCAGACUCCUACGGGAGGCAGCAGUGGGGGAUCUUGCGCCAAUGCGCGAAAGCGUGACGCAGCGACGCCGCGUGGGGGAUGAAGGCCCUCGGGUCGUAAACCGCUUUCGGCAGGGACGAAGCGAGAGUGACGGUACCUGCAGAAGAAGUCCCGGCUAACUACGUGCCAGCAGCCGCGGCCGAAU